AAGCGCUCAUGACCAGACUUGGGCCCGGUGAAUCAUCCAGCGCUCGUCGCUGGUGCACUUUGCCGGGCUCAGGCCAGCAUCAGUUCGCUCCGGGGGACAAAGGCUCUGGGAAUGUGGCUCCUCCGGGAGUGUUAUAGCCCACUGCGCAAUACCCUGGGGCGGACUGAGGUUCGCGCAUUCGUGCAAGGAUGCUGGCGUAAUGGUCAUCAGUGA
rnacentral:rRNA from 1 species